rnacentral:rRNA from 1 species
AGCGAACGCUGGCGGCAUGCUUAACACAUGCAAGUCUCACGGGCCGCGAGGUCAGUGGCGGACGGGUGAGUAACGCGUAGGUAUCUAUCCUUGGCUGGGGGACAACCGUGGGAAACCGCGGCUAAUACCGCAUGACGCCUGUGGGCCAAAGCCGCAAGGCGGCUGGGGCGGAGCCUGCGUACGAUUAGCUAGUUGGUUGGGUAACGGCUGACCAAGGCGACGAUCGUUAGCUGGUCUGAGAGGAUGAUCAGCCACACUGGGACUGAGACACGGCCCA